UGGGGAAUUUUGCACAAUGGGCGCAAGCCUGAUGCAGCGACGCCGCGUGAGGGAUGAAGGCCUUCGGGUUGUAAACCUUUUUCGCUCAUGGUCAAGCCGCAGCUUUGGGUUGUGGUGAGGGUAGUGGGUAAAGAAGCGCCGGCUAACUACGUGCCAGCAGCCGCGGUAAUACGUAGGGCGCGAGCGUUGUCCGGAUUUAUUGGGCGUAAAGCGAGCGCAGGCGGUUAGAUAAGUCUGAAGUUAAAGGCAGUGGCUCAACCAUUGUAGGCUUUGGAAACUGUUUAACUUGAGUGCAGAAGGGGAGAGUGGAAUUCCAUGUGUAGCGGUGAAAUGCGUAGAUAUAUGGAGGAACACCGGUGGCGAAAGCGGCUCUCUGGUCUGUAACUGACGCUGAGGCUCGAAAGCGUGGGGAGCGAACAGG
rnacentral:rRNA from 1 species